GGCAAUAAAUUUUCUGCAAAAAACAGAAAAAAGAGGAGUGAGGAAGAAGGAGACAGUCACCAUGGAUUCCCCAAGUGUUAUCCCUUAUAUCUUUUUGCUACUUCUUGUUGGAUGCUCGGCCAGACCUCUCUACCCACUUCCUGGCAGAAGAAAUGAUAGGAAUAAACAGCCUUUACAAACAUUUCGAGCUUACAACAUUGCACACCGAGGUUCAAAUGGAGAAAUUCCUGAAGAAACUGCAGCAGCAUACAUGAGAGCUAUUGAAGAGGGUACUGAUUUCAUCGAAACAGAUAUUUUAGCAUCUAAAGACGGCGCUCUUAUAUGUUUCCAUGAUGUCAUACUUGAUGAUACAACUGAUAUAGCAAAUCACAAGGAAUUUGCUGAUCGAAAGAGGAC
rnacentral:misc_RNA from 1 species